CAGAGAAGAACAGAGGGCGAGAGAGAGGAACAGAGAGAGAGAGAGAGAGAGAGAGAGAAUAGGAGGAAGUGGGAGGAACCUGCAGAAGCAGAAGAAGUUCAGUACAUGUCCAUGAAGACCCGACCCUGCGAUCACCUUUCCCCCUUCCAACCUCUCUUUCUCUGAGGUUUUGGCUAUAGGUUUGAAGGUUAAGCGAUUUGAGAAAGUUUUAAGGGAUUUAUUUUCAUCUCAGAUUUGAAAUGAGGUAGAUUUCUCCAAAUUAAUCAAGUUAGCCAAUAGACUUAAAUUUUUAUGUUUUCCUUGCUUGAGCCUUGCCUUGUGUGAAAUUAGUUAAAUUUGAUGAAGCUAGUGAAUUUUAUGAACUUGAAUAGGUAUAUAUGUGUUUGUGAAUUACUUAUAGUUCAUCAUGGUUGAGUUUGCUUAAUUUUAGAUUGUUGCACUUGAUUUGAUAGUUUUCCCGGGUUGGACAGGAUUGGGUUUUUUUUUUCUUGCCUAGAAAAGUUUUGGGUUGAGCUACUUGCUUGCUGCCUUGGAUUAUUGUGAUAUAAUGAUGUAUUUAAUUUAUACGAUUGACUUUCUUAUUAUUGGUUUGUAUGAAUUAGUAGGUUUCUCUUCUAAGUGGGUUUGUUGCAAAUUGAUUAAUUAUGGCUUUGGCAUGUUAUUUCUUAAGUUUACAUGAACAUUUAUUUUUAAUUUCGCCCACUUAAGCUUAGUAUAAGGUCUGGUUUACUGAUUGGAUAGUUAGGUUGAGGAAGUUGUUGGUUGUAAUAUGAAGGUUCAAUUUAUGGGAAUUUCGCUAGCAGUGAAGAAGUUUAUAUCUUCGUGAUUGUUAAGGAUGAUACGUUAAUUAAUCUUUUUGCAUUAAUGACUGAUCCGAUUAAUGUUAUGCAUACAUGCACCAACUAAUUGAUAUGCUCUUCCAUAGCUUAGACAUGCCGUGGCAAGGAAGGAAUAUGUUUUAAUGGUUUCUAUUGUUGUUGGGCUAUACCAUAUUGAGUUGUCUUGGUGAAUGAAUUGAUGUUUCCUAUUGAGUCCUAUGGAUGGUGAUUCAUUCUUUUAGCUGAUUCCUUGCUAACCUUGGGUUGUUUGGGUGAAAAUUAUAAGAUAAGGUUUGAUGGUAAGUGUAAUUGAUCUCAUGAGAGCGUUUAAUUGGUGGUCAGGAUAAAAGGUUUGAUUAAUAUAGUGGUUCUACUCAAAUAAGACUUUGAAGUCUUGAAUUACUGUGGUGAAGAUGAUAUGAAUAGGAAUAUUUUAGCUUGAUUUAUUGCAUAUUAAUAACAGUUGGAGCUAGUUAAGUCUCGAGGUUUUCGGGGCAAUUAAGUCUGAAUAAAUUUUUUCAUUUUAGGGUCAAAUGCAAUAUUGUUUGCUAUAAGGAAUAUAUGAAGAAAAAGCUUAAAUUUUAUAAUUGUUUUUCUUGUCAUGCUUAUGGCCUAUAGAAGCUGAAGAGACUGAAAUUGUGCGUUCUGAUGGUUCGACUUCAUUAAAUAUUUUGGCGAGUUUGGUGAAUACUCUAUUCCCUUAUAAAAUAAUGUAUUAUAUUUAUAUAAAUUAAUUAAGAAAAAUAUUGUGAUAAUUAGAUAUUAAGAAAUCGAUCUUAUUAUGUUGUGUGAAUUGAUUUGAGAAAUAUUGCACCUUCUAUGUUUCAUUUUAAUUUGAGAUAUACAGUGUGAUUGUAUAUGCUGAUUGUGUAUGAGAUAUGUGAGACCUGAUAUUUUUUACCAAACAGCACACGUGCACAUACCCUGAUAUACUUAUACACAUACUUAUAUUAUAUACAUGCUGCUGGAAGUUUAAAGGGGAAAAAAAAAUUUUGGGGGUCACAGGGCCCCACGUGACCCCAUUGCUCCCAAGUACCCCCACCGCCAUUUUUUUUUCUCUUCUUUUGGAUACUUCCAACCAUUCUAUUUCUUUGUCUUCUUUCAUUGUUCUGCUUAGCAGAAAAAAAAAAUCGAAGAAGAAACGGAGAAGAACAGGGGAGAGGAAAACGAAAAAAAAUAAAAUGGAGAAACAGAGGUUGAGAGAGAGAGGGGCGUUGAGAGUUCGAGAUGACCAGCGAGCAAGAGAGAAGGAGAGGGGGAGGUUCGCAUCCAAAGAAAGAAAACAGAAAGAGAGAGCCAGAGAUUGUGAUGGAAGAUUGGAUGGCAACUCGUAGCAGAGAGGGCGAAGUGUCGAGAUAGCAAGGGAGAGCUCGACUUUGCUCGCUAGUUCGAUUAUCGUCCAAUUUCAGGGAUUUUCGUUACAGCCCCUGUUUUUCUCUCGACCAGCAGCAGAGCCCUCCUCAGAAGAGAGGACUCGAUAAGCUUCUAGCUGCGCGGAAGAAACACUUUUUGAUAUCGGGGAUCAGCUCGGAGAACUAGGUAGGGACCUUAGCUAUUUGAUAGAUAUCCUUUUUGGUAUAGAAUGGAUUUGAAAAUGUUACGACCUGAAAUUUUGUUUAGUUGUAUUACUGAUAUGGGUGCGAAAAAGAAAAUUUCUCUCUUUUGAGAUGUAUAUACAUAUUAGAGCUUACCAGGUUGGUUUUAUAUUUUUGGGAAUUUUAUGGAAAGUUAGUUUUAGGUGAAUAGUUAUGUGGUAAUGGAUAUCGAGGAAAGAUAGGGAAAAUCCAAUUGAAAUUUCGGCUCGUGACAAGAUAUGUGAUGAUAACAUGCUGCCAUUAUAAUGUGAUUGGGAUUGUGUUUGUGUGUGAUGA